AACGAACGCUGGCGGCAUGCCUAACACAUGCAAGUCGAACGAGACCUUCGGGUCUAGUGGCGCACGGGUGCGUAACGCGUGGGAACCUGCCCUUAGGUUCGGAAUAACUCCCCGAAAGGGGUGCUAGUACCGGAUAAUGUCUUCGGACCAAAGAUUUAUCGCCUUUGGAUGGGCCCGCGUUGGAUUAGCUAGUUGGUAGGGUAAAAGCCUACCAAGGCGACGAUCCAUAGCUGGUCUGAGAGGAUGAUCAGCCACACUGGGACUGAGACACGGCCCAGACUCCUACGGGAGGCAGCAGUGGGGAAUAUUGGACAAGGGGCGAAAGCCUGAUCCAGCAAUGCCGCGUGAGUGAUGAAGGCCUUAGGGUUGUAAAGCUCUUUUACCCGGGAUGAUAAUGACAGUACCGGGAGAAUAAGCUCCGGCUAACUCCGUG
rnacentral:rRNA from 1 species